UCCUGCCUCAGCCUCCCAAACUGGUAGGAUUACAGUGGUGUAAGCCGAGAACCUGCCUGGGGGAGUUGAGGACCCACUGCUCCCCUGGGAAGGGUCUUCACAGAUCCGGGGACAUUCCUUUGGCAAUCCAGAUGGCACUGAGGAACCACCCGUGGUUCGGAAUUCUUUCAGCUGUUAAAAUAUGGGAAAUUCAACGUCUGUCCCUGUAAACUCCCUUGGGAUUCUAUAUUCAAUAGUUGAAAUCUCUACAUUCAAAGCACAGAUCUUACAAGGCCUGGCGUAGGGUCCCACGUUAGUAGGAGGCACGAGAAAGAUCUGUGAGUAAACCAGUGAGUGGUGAUCAAGGCCCGGGAGCGACUCGGGGAGACAAUGGGAAUCCUGUCUGGGUCUUAGUUAGACUGAAACCUUAAGAAGUGAACGAACACGGACCCAAGUUCUCAGGAGGGACGGAGUCUCCUGGGCACCCGCUGCAGAUGUGAGGAGAGAAUUUCAAAAGCCAACUCUGGGUCCUCAGUCCCCUGUCACCCAAUUUUUAAAUUUGACCUUUGGGGCAUUCAACAAAAAACAUAAGGGCCCCAUGAAACCUUGGAGACAGGACAGCAGGCGGGAGAACCAGCCCAGGGUGGCCCUGGCCACAGGCCCGGCCCCUCAGAGAUAUCCAAGGGCUCCACGCGAAAGAGGGGAAAAGGUUGGMGAGCUAGAGGACGUCACCAUGGCAGACUGUCCCCAGCAGGGCCCAUGGACACAGGGGCCGUGCCCCCUUCAUAGAGAGGGGGACCCUGGGGCGGAGAUCGCCUCACCUCCAGAGAGGGACAGGAGGCCACCCGCCCCAUCAAGGUGCCCUGGAAGACGGAUGCCUGAGGCCGUCACCAYAGAAGAGGCUGCGUGGCUCCUGAUGGGGCAGCCUGCUGGACGCUGGAGCCCAGCCCCUGCCUUCCUCGACCCCCAGGACCUUUCUAAUCAAACUCGUGUGGCCACUGCACCCUGAGGCCAGCUGACUCAGAACCUUUCACUGGCAGAUUUAAAAACUUGAUUUCAGUCCAGUUCUUCAGGUCCGAAGAAAACCUCCUCACUGGACCCACUCCUUCCUGAACCCAGGGGCCCCUGGGGAUCUUUUAAGCAGCCCACAGGCGGUGCCUCACGGGACACCCUUCAUGGACUCACUCACCCGCAGCCCUCCUGACACCCCACAGGAUUGUUCCUUAAGUAUAGCCAGCCCCUUGCCAGGUGCCGUGGGCACGCCCGCGAUGCCAGCGGCUCGGGAGGCGGAGGCAGGAGGAUCGCGAGUUCCAAGCCAGCCUCAGCAACUUA